rnacentral:rRNA from 1 species
CCUACGGGAGGCAGCAGUGGGGAAUAUUGCACAAUGGGGGAAACCCUGAUGCAGCAACGCCGCGUGAGUGAAGAAGUGUUUCGGCAUGUAAAGCUCUAUCAGCAGGGAAGAAGAUGACGGUACCUGAGUUAGAAGCCCCGGCCAACUUCGUGCCAGCAGCCGCGGUAAUACGUAGGGGGCAAGCGUUAUCCGGAUUUACUGGGUGUUAAGGGGGCGUAGACGGUGAGACAAGUCUGCAGUGAAAGCCCGGGGCUCAACCCCGGGACUGCUGUGGAAACUGCCGGACUGGAGUGCUGGAGAGGCAGGCGGAAGUCCUGGUGUAGCGGUGAAAUGCGUAGAUAUGAGGAAGAACACCAGUGGCGAAGGCGGCUUGCUGGACAGUAACUGACGUUGAGGCUCGAAAGCGUGGGGAGCAAACAGGAUUAGAUACCCUUGUAGUC